CCCCGCAGGAGGGGAGACGGUUGUAAAUCCCAACGGACGCGCCUCCCCCGUCUAAUAAUUCUCGUCGAUGGUCAGAAGUAGCCAAUGGGAAAGGAGCUGCCAGCUCAUAGGCUGAAUAAGGCACGUUUACUCGCAAGUGAACAACUCACAGAAUGCUGACCAAGACACAGGCAGUGCAGCCCAGGUGAACUGUGAUUCAUCACCAAAGAGAAGCAGAUAUGAUCUAAUUAGUCUCACACACAAUAAAUAAAUUUUAAAAGGAACCUGGCA